rnacentral:rRNA from 1 species
AACGGGUGAGGAACACGUGAGAAAUUUGCCCCGAACUUUGGGAUAACAGUUGGAAACGACUGCUAAUACCGAAUGCCGUUACGAAGUGGCAUCACUAUGUAACGAAAGAAUUUCGGUUCGGGAGAAUCUCGCGGCCUAUCAGCUUGUUGGUGAGGUAACGGCUCACCAAGGCUACGACGGGUAGCUGGUCUGAGAGGAUGAUCAGCCACACUGGGACUGAGACACGGCCCAGACUCC